UAUCGUUCUUAUUUCCGUCCUUCCUCAGGACGCACUACCGCGCCACAUGUUAUCGAUUCGUUUUUGCCACGUCACAUUUCUGCGUAAAACCCGUCGAUAAUUACCUGUAAUUCACUUGUCAACACCGUUCGAUUCAACUCAAUUACUUGUUUGCGGUUUUGCUCUAUAAUUUCUUCCCAGACGAUUCACCUUGUGUUGUCUUACAAAUACUCGCACAGGUAGACAGACAGUAGACAACUUAUGACAGAACCAGCAUGAACAGGCACACAAGGAGCUACUGCAUACAACUGUACUAGUAUAUAUGUAUGUAUGUAUAUUUGCUUCGGUUCAGUGCAGUGUCUUUACUUCUUCACUUCUUUUUGUGUCAUCGCUUGUUUGUUAUUUUAGCAGAUUGCAGGAGUAUAAGGUAAACAAACAUUUUUCACACAUUGAGAUAAUGUCCUUUAAGUGUGGCUUUGCGGUAAUUGUAGGCGUUUUCGGUAGAGUAUGCCAUUGUCGGUUUAUUUGUUUGUAUCUACCGUCAGUUGUCAGCUGUCAGUUGUAGGUACCAGCUGUGUUGUCCUUUGCUCAGCUGAUUUUGUUUUGUUUGACAAGUUGUUUCUGGACGUCACUUGUGUAAAUGGCUUAAUCAUUUUCUUGGAAAUUAAGUGAACAAAUAUAAUUGCUAGCAGAAGGAGUUGAAAUGUGUACUCAGUUCUUGAGGGAAGCUAUUCAAAAAAUCUUGGAAAAAUGUCCUUGCAUGGAAACGAUGUAAUGAUACGUAACGUAUAGGAACGAGCUCAAAAGGGCAUAUUUACAUUUCAGUUGGAACACUGAUAGAGUUGUGUGACAGAUAGCAAUUAUAAACUGCGUUUUCUGAUACAAAGAAGAUCAAAGAAGACCUCUAGAAUCGACCUUAUCUUCUACCGUUUUGGUUAGAUAAUAAUCUAAAUAUUCUGUAUGCAACAGAGAAGAAGUAACCAGGUGUACAAAUGAUAGUCCUCAUAUGAAGUUCGCUUCAUAUGAAUAAAACUCUGUUCUUCAGGCCGAGAUUGUGGGAAUACUCUCUCCUGAAUCAGUAAGUCUAUUAGCUUUGUUGUGAAUAGUCGAAAAACAACGACAAAGUCACACAAAGACCGUUCAGCUGCUCUAAAGGCUGCUUUCAGCAAUGGAUUUAAAAGAACCCCUCAGGUUAUGGAUGACCACAAGAACCAGAACUUCUCGUGAAAAAUUUAGAUAGAUGUAGUGUUAAUGAUGCACAGCAGAAAAGGCUUUUAGGAAAAAGGAAUUUUAGUAAUAUUGUUAAGGGAAUCACAGGUCACUUAACACUGAGAUCUUUCAAGUGGAGUUGAAAGAAUGCAGAGCAUGCGGCGCAUAUGAUGAAUCUUUAGAGUGUUCGCGCUGCGAAUGUCUAAAUCUCAACAGGUGGGGACAACAAAAGCGUUGAAAAUAUCAACAUUAUAAAGUUGGAAUUGGAAAAAUCUAAUGGAAAUUAUAGACCAUUGGUCUGAAUUAUUUGAUUUACAAGAGAAAGUCUUCUGUUGUCAAAGGAAUAGUUAGUGUGAUAACGCUGUUUAUGGAAAUUCGAGCACUACAGGAACUUAGCGGAUUAUAAGCUGUUGGUAACUGAGGAAGAAAUAGGUCUUCUCGGCGAUGGACAAAUAGGUCGAAGAACUGAUCUUUGAAUUUCGUAUAUAGUUUGUAUAAACUUUUUUCACGAGAUCAUAUAAAAAGAAAACAAUUCGAAAAUGCCUUUGAUGUCUAAAUUUUCCAAUCAAACACAUGUAUAAAUAGUUGGUCGCAAUUAGGCCAUGUGAAGUCACAAUUCUGUUUAAUAGUUAUAUUCAUACGUAUAUAAGCAUUAAAAGCGGUGACUCUUUAAUAGAAACAAUAAUAAAAUUACGGUCCGCUCUCAUAAGCGUUCCUACAUCUUUAGCAGUCAGAAUGUACCCAAAUAGACUUAUCGUUACGUUAAUAAAAAUGAUUUAUCGACUUUUCGCUUAGAUAAAAUGCAUAUAAAUUACGCUUUGGAAUCGCACCUUUUGUGGCAACUCGCAUCUCUUACGCUUCUAGUGGAGACAAUAUAAAUUUUAUGCCCCAAACUUGUCUAUAAAUCACAGGCACAACGUUUGCUUGUACUGCGCAGGCGUGUAGCUGGCAGAAAAUGCACGUGUUACACACGCAUACAAACAAACAAACCCAAAAAAAAACGAGAAAAAUAAAUGCCAUAAAAGGAGUCAACAAAGCAUAUUUGGAUAUCCUCCACUUGCUCCAACCAGACAAACAAACACUGGUAUACACCAUAUAUGUGUGUAUACAUGUGUUUGUGUGUAUAUGCAUGACAUAUGUACACAUCAGAUAAAGUGUGAGCAACGAUUUUUUAAGCAAGCAGAAAAACUCCUUCAAAAAAAAAAAAGAAAUCUAAAUAAAUUUGUCAGGAGGUUGACGACGACGACGUCUACAACAAUAACCGUGACGUUAAAGCAUGGCAAGGCGACAGCGCACACUCGGGACGCAGCCAAGUGGUAUAGCAAACAGCGCUGUGUCACGCAUGUACAUAAAUAAAUAACUAUAUAUUUAUAAGCAUAUAUAUUUAUAUAUACAAUAGUAAAUAUAUAUUUGAUAUCUAACAUAUAUACACAUAGCGAUAUAUAGCAGACACAUACUUAUAUGUAUAUAUCUACACAUUACUAGUGCCUACAGCGUGCUGCGCAUGCGCUACGUGCAUUUCGUCCUGAUUUGCACAUAACUUUUAAAAUAGCAUAAGUCGACUUAAAUUAACGCGUUCACUUUAAGUUUUCGAAACAAAUUAUGCCGCACUCGACUUUAGGUUGCGACAUAAACAGUAGCCGAGCAUGCCUGCUGCUAUAAACAAUAAAAAAAAUUACUCA